CCCUUAGAUGUUCUGGGCCGCACGCGCGCUACACUGAUGCAUUCAACAAGUUCUACCUUGGCCGAGAGGCCUGGGAAAUCUUUCAAAUAUGUAUCGUGAUAGGGAUAGAUUAUUGCAAUUAUUAAUCUUGAACGAGGAAUUCCUAGUAAAUGCAGAUCAUCAUUCUGCGUUGAUUACGUCCCUGCCCUUUGUACGCACCGCCCGUCGCACCUACCGAUUGAAUGAUCCGGUGAAGCCUCGGGAUUGUGCCCAGAGAACUUUAUUGUGAUUUGGGUGUGAGAACUUGUCUAAACCUUAUCAUUUAGAGGAAGGUGAAGUCGUAACA
rnacentral:rRNA from 1 species